UUUAAUAUGGAAAUGUGGUCUGGCCUGAUUUUCUUCCUGUGUUAUUGCUUUAAUCUAAUCCUUCUGUAGCAGCAGUCCCCAGCGCAGAGGCUUGUACUAGUGAAUGUGUUUGGGGAGUACACAGAGGGAGAAAUGUGGGUGUUCUCUGUGUGUGUUCAAAGCUUUUGAUGUUAAAAAACAUACUCUCUAGCCUGUGGCUUUUCCACUUACGAGACUUGCUCAGGCCUUGUGUAUCACUUCCUAGGCCUCCACUCACAUUUGACCCCCAUGAAAUGUCCUCCAGUCUCUGUCCAGCUCUGUUUCUUGCUCUUGGUGCCCUACUUAUACAUCAAAAAACCAGUAAAGCUGCCCAGGAGUACUGAACUCUAAUGCCAAGAAUAAAAAAUCACAAUAAAAUGUAUAGCUAAUUUUUCCUGUUUUUAAUGUGCCAAGUACUUUACUUUCUGUUUCAUUUUAUAUUCACAAGCUUUGCCAUUGUUCUAAUGAGGUGCUGAGGUCACGAGACUGGCCUGAGAUCACAUUGCUGGAACGCAGCAGAUCUAGGAUUCAAAACCAAAUCUCUUUGACCCCCAAACCUAUGCUCUGAGUUAAAAUGCUGUGUGGUCUCCUCUAAGCCCCUUUAACACUCACUGUCUCCAGUUAUGUCCUCUUUUCCAUUCCUAAUAUGAUCCGUCUUCUGUUCUUAAUACAGGCAGCCAGAAUUUUGUUCCUUUUCAAAGUUUCUUCAGAGAACCAAUCUCAAUUGUUGAUCGAUGUUUUCUGUUUCAUUAAUUUUCAACCUGAUAUUUUAUUUCCUUUGACCUAGUUUCUUAAGACUUAUUCUGCUGUUCCUGUUUUUAAUUUCUCAAAUUUGAUCAGUUCAUUAAUCUCUACCUUUCAUCAAUAUGAGCACUCAGGUAAUACAUUUUCCUCUAAGUACAGCUUUUCUUCAAGUUUUGAUAUUUAGUCUUGUUAAUCAUUCGAUUCCAAGUAUCUUCCAUUAUAUUAAUUCUAUGAUGCAGAAAUUAUUUGAGGAGUUUUUAAACUUACAAGUAUGCAUUUCUCUAACUUAAUUGUAAGAGUAUAGAAUGUAUGAUACCAGACUUUUCUGUCCUAGCACAUGGUCACUUUUCAUAAAUUUUCUGUGUGCUUGGAAAGAAUGCAUAUUUGCCAGUUGUUGAGCAAUGUUCUUAUAUAGAUUCAUUUUACCAAAUGUGUUGGUGGUAUUGUUUGGUUCUAUAUACUUUGCAAUUUUUGUCUUUUGAUCUUUUAAUUACUGUAAUAGAAAUAUGUAUCAAAUUUCUCACAAUGGUGGUGAAUUUAGCAACUUCUUGUAGUUUAACCAGAAUUUCCUUUUGAUGAAAUAAAUCUCUGUUUCUAAGUCGAUAUACACCUAGAAUGGUUAAAGCUUCCCAGUGAAUUACAUCAUUCAUCAUUAUCCACCUCCUUAAAGUUUAUUGUGUCUGAUAUUAAUUACUUUCUCUUCAUCAGCUUUCUCUUAAGCUGUAUUUUCCUGGUAUAUAUUUUUGUUAAUCUUUUAAUUUUAAACACUUCUGGUGGAAUGACUUCAUAUUUUAGGUGUCCCUUUAGGGAAAACAUAACCAAACUGGAUUUUAUUUUUUAAUUCGGUAUGAUAGUCAUUAUCUUUUAACUAGAAGGUGUAACCUAUUUACUCUUAUUGUGAAUUGUGAUAUAUUUAGUCCAUGUUAUCAUUUCUUCAAUCUUAUCAUUUGGGUUUAUUUGUUUUUUUCUGAUAGUGUUCUUUCCUGCCUCAAUUUAAAAAUGUGUUCCAUUUUAUUUUUUCUAUUAGUAUAAAAAUUAUAAAUUUGAUUCCCAUUCUUUAAUGAUUUUCUAUAAAUAUUAACAUUAAUAUUUAAGUUAAGUCCAUGUCUUUGCAUUCUCUUGGAAUACUAAGACUUUAUAAUGCUUUCAUUAUAAUGAUACCACCACUCCAUAGACAAAUAAUAUGCUAUUUCUGCUUAUUUUUUUUUAGCUCUACAUGUUAAACAUUUAUUAUUAUUUUAUACAGUUUCUAUUUAUUUAGAUAUACUGAUAUUUUUAAUAUUUAUUCUUACAUAAUGGGGGUUUCGUUAUGGGACGAUAUUCUUUCUUCCUAAUGCACUUUUUCUAGAAGUUUCUUUAGUACGAUGUUGACGGUACAUGGACAAAAAGAAAAGAACAACAGACACCAGGGCCUCCACCAGGUGAAGGACAGGAGGAGUGUAUGUUCCCGCCAUCAUGCCAUGUUAUCCCAUGUGUUCUACUUUGUUUCAAUACACAUCUACUACAGAGGAGAUUGCCUGGGUUGCAUGGGACUGUCGGUAUAAUCAAGCAAGCAAGCAAUACAGUGAAAUUGAUGUCAUGUGAUGAGCACCCAUUUGGAGGUCUGAAGAUCUCAGCAUGGAGCCAAGCCACCAUGGCCCUAUUCUUAAACCUUUCAUCAUCCAUGAUGAAGAAGCAGACAUCAUAAUUUUUCCUUCUAGAAGAUAUAUCCCAGAAAGCAGUGGAUUUCCAGAGCUGAAUGAAUGAUACAACCAAAAGAACCUGCUGGUUGAACAUAAGAAAUCCCCCCAGACCCAAGGUAAGGCUUAGAGCAGUGGAAUGAAGCUCAGCUAAAGGCAGGAAUUGGACAGCCACCCAUCUGAAGGCACUGGGGCCCAGGACACGCUGGAGAUUCUUGGAGGUGGGAAGUAAGCAGAGGCUCCACCAUCAAAGUUUGGAGGAGAAGGGGUCUGGGCUCCUCUCAGUCAUGUACAAGUUCCUGCAGUGGAGGAAAGCCCAGUUCCAAGAAACACAGCGAAGGAAGCGUGGGCAGAGGCACAAAUAGCAGAUUGGAUGCCCCAGCCUAGAGCCUUCAGAGUGUGGCUUCCAGAACCACAACAAACUCUAACAGACUUUCCACAGAGAUGGGAAGGAAGUUGCUAGAACAAACACUAUCCUGAAACUUGCCCCAAAUCUGAACCUCAUCAAACCCCAGUGUUUUUUUGAGGUUAGAAAAAGCCUGGCUUAGCAUUUUUAAAACAAUAUCUAUUUGCCUUUUGUCUACCAUUUGCAGCCAGAAGUGGAAGUUCUAAAAACCCAUUAAAAACUUUGGGUUUUAUUUUGUAUUUAUUUCUUUACUAUAUGCUUUGCCUGGCCAAAACCAGAAAAUGCUGGAAUGGCACAAGUUCAUUCUCCUGAGAUAUCCAGAUCAAAGUUGUUUGGAACUGCUUGGCAAAAUAUCUGAAUUUUUCCAUUCUUAUCCAAACCAAUGCCUCCAAUCCCUUGCAAUUUACUCAUAUGCAUCCACCUUCUCAAGUGUUCUGAGGCAUUUCUUUCAGCACACACACUGGCCUUCAAAGGGUAACAAGAAAUUGUGUGCUGGCAGAAGCUAUAUUUUCAAGUUUAUGCCUUCAAUUCAUUAUCCGACAAAGAGAACAAGAAAUUCUGGCAAUUUUAUCCACUCUAUAUAUUCCACAUGGAGUAAAGUAUAGGAAGAGCAAUGUCAAAGACCCUCUUGCAUAGAGAUUUAUUUGUUGGCAGUAUAUUUUACACUGCUAAAUUAUCAUCCUCUCUCCUAAGUGUGGAAUCCAGUUUGGCCAAGUAAAACUUUAAAGCAGCACAUAUAAUCCGACCAGCAAAUUUACUGGGAAACUGGUCUUGUUCUUUUCAUAGUGCCUUAGAGAAAUGUCCCUGCGGGUGGGGGGUUAGCAAAACUUGCCCUCUCAGAUAUGUUGUAUUUUUGUUGCAGAAUUCACAUUUUACACUUAUUUCCCAUUGGUCAUUCUUAUUCUAAGUGGCCUUAAUCCAUAGAUGUUACCUUUCAGGAACAUAUUAAGGGUAUAAUGCAGUGCAUGCUGCAAUGUUAAUCUUGUCUUCAUAAAAAUACUUCAAUUUAUCAUCUAUAGAUUUCUUUUCCCGUGGUAAUUUUAAUCUUGAUUUUUUUCCAUGAGAUACAAAACAAGAAUUUGCCUCACAAAAAAAGUCAACUUUUAAGAGAACUCUUCCACCUUUUCAUUAAAAUGAAGAAAAUGCAUGAUGCUGCCUUACUCAAAGCUACUGAGAAAACAUCCCAGUAAUGCACCUCCUCACCUGUUACAUGUUUUAGCCUCAGUUCCUAUUUGGGUACCUGGGUAUUUUUCAGGUAUACCCUUGGCUAUUUCUGGGUGUGUAUUUGAAACCAUCUUCAUUAGCAUAAUAUUUUUCUAAUGUCAAAUGAAAAACAUUUUUAUGAUCAGAUAGAUGAACUUCUAAGGUCAGCAAGCCUGUCUCAGUUUCUAAUAUUUCCAAAAUAUACAAGUGAUUCUUUUGCUUUAUAAACCUCCACCUGCUUCUUUCUUUCAUGUAAUUCGCCUUUGUUCAGUUAUUUUGCACCACCCCUGGAGUGUUUUCAAAUAUAUUUUAAACCCCCAAGCAACCCCAUUUCAGCUGAUUGACUUUAGAGAACUCUAAUGCUGGCCAGGCAUUUUGCUGCAACCCCAUUUAGACUCAGCAGGAAGAGCAGAUUUAAAAGGCAGAUUACGUUUUUAGCUUUUUAAAAACUGCUUUAUUAGAGAGGCUAAAAGCCACAGUGGUGGUAAGCUGAAUUCUUUUGAAAUACAAGCAACUUCAAGACAUCUAGGGAGUAGCUCCUCACCCGUGGAGCUCCUCCCUUUGGGUUUCAAUGAUGGCAGGGACCAGCUGGCUCCAAGUAUUUUUCUUAAGGGUCCUUGUGGCUCCAACAACAGAAUCCCUAAAAGCACCAAAGAGGUUUCAUUUAAGGGUCGGAGACCUUUGAAAAGCAGCUCACCGAGGUUCCCGCCUCUGGACUUCUGGCAGGCCAUUUUGUGUGAAAGUGUUGUUACAUACUGGCUUCUACUGAAAUGGAGGGGCUGGCCAAGGGGCAAUAGGUAGGGAACUAUAAUGAGGAUGUGAAAGCCGCUUACAGAAGAGGUGAGAAUACCUGCAGGCCUCAUUCCUAUGACAGGCAUCUGGGAGUCCCAAAAGAUGGCUAAAAAACAAACAAACAAACAAACAAACAAAAACGGGUGGAUGGAUGGAUAGAUAAGACAUAGAUAGAUAGAUAGAUAGAUAGAUAGAUAGAUAGAUAGAUAGAUAGAUAGACAGACAGGCGGAGGCCACAGUAGUGGCUACUGCUUCACACACCAUCUUAAAACAUGUGCUACUACUAAUCAAUGCAUUCCUUCUCACGUACUUGGG
rnacentral:lncRNA from 1 species